UACGGAGGGUGCAAGCGUUAUCCGGAUUCACUGGGUUUAAAGGGUGCGUAGGCGGGCAGGUAAGUCCGUGGUGAAAUCUCUGAGCUUAACUCAGAAACUGCCAUGGAUACUAUUUGUCUUGAAUAUUGUGGAGGUAAGCGGAAUAUGUCAUGUAGCGGUGAAAUGCUUAGAUAUGACAUAGAACACCGAUAGCGAAGGCAGCUUGCUACACGAGUAUUGACACUGAGGCACGAAAGCGUGGGGAUCAAACAGG
rnacentral:rRNA from 1 species